UAUAGUAUGUCGUUUUAAAAAUAUUUUAUGUCUUUUUUAGAUGACCUACAGAAGGCUCGCGAGAAGUCAAACCAGGCUCUGAUCAGGUCAGACAUCGAGACUGAUCUGGAGGGAAAGAAAAGAAAAAUUACCAAGAACCGAAAAUAUCUUGAUACUGACAACGAUGAUUCAUCCUCUUCCGAUAUUUGCCUGACAGAGAAAGAGGAAACGCCCAAGAAAUUUAAGAAGGCAUUGUGGUCGUCAAAAGUGACAUCAUCCCCCCUAAAAAUUCCUGGUGAUUUGCCAGAUUUUGACACACUUCGGCGUAGCCCAAGAAAACCGCCAAAAAAUGUAGUCCCUUCUUCGUCAGUGCCAGUGCCAAAAACAGGCUCUAAAGCCACCACUAAACCUACUCCAAAAGAUGCAGGCCUACCGUCAACUUUCCCAGGAAUGAGGCCAUCAACUUCUUCGUCAGCCCAAAAAACAGGCACCAAAACUGGCAAUUUUGAAGAAAUUUGUAUAAGGAAUCAAAAUAUUAUCAAGAAUUACCUUCGACAAAUUUUGGGAGAAUGUGCUACACUUAAUGACAAACUCUCCCAGUUGCAUCAGCAACGAGGCACAACAGCUGCUAUCGAAGAGGAAUCGGUGCUCCCGACCAACCUCCCGAUAACUGAUCUGGAAGAACUGCUGGCCUUAGAAGAUGCUCUAGAGAGCAAAGCCGUCGAGACUGAUGUGGUUAAUUAUCUUGCUCGGAUGGGCGGCUCAAAUAUGGCAGAUGCUUGCAGAAGAGCACUGCGAUCAGCAAUUUUGGACGCAGUUGCCUGUCAAUAUAGUUGGGCUGGGCAGAAGGGGGAAAAAUAUUCAGCACUCUGCGACUGAAAACUGUUAUUUUCAGAGCUGUCCUGAAGCAAUUUCCCGAUGCUAAGGAAAAAGAAAUGGAAAGGGUGGUGAAGGAUUGGCUGAGGCCUUCAAAAAAUCGCCUUCUUAGCAAGGAAAAAUCAAGAAAAAGGGGACCAGAAGGGGACGAGGUCCAAGAUGAUGUCGAUCAGGAAAAAACCAAGGAGUUGGACUAAGG